UACGAAGGGGGCUAGCGUUGUUCGGAAUUACUGGGCGUAAAGGGCGCGAAGGCGGCUUACCAAGUCGGGGGUGAAAUCCCGGAGCUCAACUCCGGACCUGCCUUCGAAACUGGUAGGCUCGAGUCCGGAAGAGGUGCGUGGAAUUCCCAGUGUAGAGGUGAAAUUCGUAGAUAUUGGGAAGAACACCGGUGGCGAAGGCGGCGCCCUGGUCCGGUACUGACGAUGAGGCGCGAAAGCGUGGGGAGCAAACAGG
rnacentral:rRNA from 1 species